AUUUUGGGUGGUGCUAGGGGUCAAAUCCAGGUCCUUGAGCAUGUUGGUUAAGGGCUGUCCCACUGAGCUAUUAUCAAAAGUCCAAAUAUUUUCACUAAGCUAAGCUGCUUUAUUCCUAUUAUUUCUUAGCCUGUGCUGAUGUAGUUGAGACAUGAUUAUUUGUAGUGAAGUGUUAAAACUAAUUGGAGUAUUCAUAGAGAACUGGGUGAUGCAAACAGGUUAAGACAGUUGUCAUCUGAGACCUUUGCAUUUAGUACUGGCACAGCCAGUUACAGAUCUUUGUAUGUAGUGGUAAAUUACUUUCCUGAUGAUUUUUCUGCAAACCUCAUCAAUCCACUUAGAAUUGGAAGUUCUUUGUCUGUGGGACAAAAUAAACUUCCCAGCAGGUGAUGUUGUAACAAGACUGCUGUAAGUAGCAGCUUGGAGAGGAAGAAACAAAACUUACUGAACUGGUACAUAGGGAAAACUGCAGAUGAUGAUGGUGAUGUUGAUGAUGAUGAUGAUGAUGAUGAUGAUGAUGAUGGCCGAGCGUUAUAGCACAGGGUCUCUGUCCCCACAAUAGGUAAGGUAUUAAUGCUGAGCAGCUAAAGUUUUGUUGUAAAAUUGUCCUUGGAUCCCACUGGUGAUAAUGAGGCAAUAUGAAGACAAGUGCUGAGGCCUAUUGUGGACUCUCCACUAAUAGGUUACUGUCAGGCUCUUAGAUCUUAGGUUGUUAGGAUUCUUGGCAGCUGGUGACAGGUUGCAGGACUUGCAUGGCUAAAUCAGUUGUCCAUAAGCAAGGAGAGAGCACCUGGAUGUGUGAAAUCUUACAAGACUCCAGGCAAGUGAAGGUUGAAGACCAAAAUUGCACCAUCAGUGUAUAGAACCAGGAGAAGCAUAGAAAAUGUGGUGAGGACAGUGGGGAAAGGGUUUUAAAGGGGGAAGUAUUUGGGCUUGCAAACUGUCACUAUCACAAAGUCUGUUGGAGCACACAGUGAAGUGUGAUUAUUUGUGGAGCCUCCCCACAACUAUAUCUCCAAGGGGAGGGCCAAGAAGUUUCAGGGUCUGCCUUUCCACAUAAAAUAUAUUUCUGGAGACAUAAUAGCAAUAGUUAAGAACCCUAGUCUUUAAGCCAGUCAAUUCAAUACCAGUCCACAACUUUUUAUGUGAGCAGGACACAUCAAUUAACAUCUCUGCCUACUCCAGACUGCAUGUAGAGCUCUUAGCAUGCAGUACGCUGCCUAACUCAGCAAGUGCCCAGUAAGUGCUGUUAUUCUACAGUUGACCUGUGAACAGUGUCGGGAUUAGAGACACCCCAUGUGGUUGAAAAGUCCCAGUAUGACUUUUGACUCCCUAAAAGCUUUAUAAAUCCUUAACUGAUAACAUAAACAAUGAACACGUUUUGCAUAUUAUUAUAUUACUGCAGUAAAGGAAUUUACUGUAGAUAACAUUCAUUCAUUCAAGAAUGAAGCACUUCAGGGCAUUUUAAGUGGGGCAAUAAUUGAGCUCCCUGAAAGAGCAACAGGACAUGGCUCUGAAAUUAUUACAGUUGUACAGUAUUAACUAGUUAAUUUUAUGCAGUUAUUUAAUACUGCAUCUUUUGGACUUUGGUGUGUGUGAGUGUGCGCACGCCGCACGGGCUGGGCAUUUAAUCACUGAACCACAUCCCCAGCCUUUUUAUUUUUUAUCUAUUUUACACAAAUUCUUGUUAUAUUAUUUAAGGCCUUACUAACUUGCUGAGGAUUGCCUUGAAUCUGAUUUUCCUGCCUUGGCCUCAUGAGUUCCUGGAAUUACAGUGUGUGCCACCACACCUGACUAGUGCUACAUCUUUAUACCAUGUAUAGUUUCUAAGUUUUUUAAAAAUAAAUUUCAACUUUGUAAUAGACAACUGUAUUUCAUGUAAUGAUAAAGUAGACUAUAUAUAUUUUAUGUAUUCAUGACAUACCUGUCUUAAUUUUUUUCAAUAUUCAUAGGCUACACAGUUCAUUUGCAAGCUUUUACAAGUUCUCACAAAUCUUAAAAAAAAAGUUUUAUGUAUAAGUGGACCAUGGAAGGGCUGGGGAUGUAGCUCAGUUGGUAGAGUGCUUGCCUUGCAUGUACAAGGCCCUGGGUUCAAUCCCCAGCACCACAUAAAUUAAUAAACAAAUGGGCCUAUGUAGUUCAAACCUGUGUUGUUCAAGGGUCACAGGUAGGCAGGUAUCGAUGUACCCAUAUUAUAAGUGGGAAAUUAUGCCUUUUGCCAUGCCUUGACCCAGUUGCUGUCAUAAUGACUCCUGAACUCCCAUGUUGCUAUGUACAAGUGCAGCUGUUACAUUUCAAAGUGGGGCUUGCCAACACCGAAUUAUAAAAAUAUUUAGGUGCCAUUGAGAAUCAGCAUUUUCAACCUCAAAGAUUGUUUUUACUGUUUUGUCUACCAGCUCUUUCUCUGUUAACCAAAGCUACAUUUAUAGGGGCUGGGGUUAUGGCUCAGUGGUAGAAUGCUUGCCUAGCAUGCGUGCAGCACUGGGUUUGAUUUUCAGCACUGCAUAUAAAUAAAGUCCAUUGACAACCAAAAAAAGAGUAAAGCACCUAACAGUCUACAAAGUAUUAAAAAGAAAAAAAAAAUACAUUUAUAACAUAAGCAGCAUGGCUGCGGUGAGGAAACAAUUUAUAUCCUGUUAACAUCUCAUUUAAUCUGUCCAGCAUUCCUGUAACAGGCAGAUUACAUUACUAACCUUAGUUGACAGUUUAACUCAUGCAGUAUAUAUCUUAGGAGGAUGGCAGUUUCUCUUAGGCAUUGAAAAUAUUUAGGAUAUCAAAAUUUUCAUUUCUGAUUUGAGAACGAGUCACAUGAAAUCUUAGGUUAGGAAUGACUUAUCAAUAGCCUAACCUGGCCAGGUGCAGCUGGGCCUUUGUUCACUGAGCAGGGAGUAUACUAUGAUAGAUUUAUUUCACUCUCCCUGGUGGGCCAUCCACUGUCCUGAGCAAUCUGCUCCUCAGCCCUUUGUGUGGUGAGCCAAAGAGCUAAAUCUUUGCAUCCAAAAUUGCCUAGAGAAGACAGAGCUCCCUGGUCUUCUUGUUUGAGGAUAUUUUCCUUUUAAAAGGAGAGAAUAGGCACAAUACUAGGGCUGCUUUCCUGCUUGGGUGGUUUAAAGGAAAUAGAUUGCUGACUCUAUGGUUUUUCCCUCAACAUACCAGGAAAGGUGGUCAUCAUUGUUCACUGUUUUGGUGCAAUGGACACCCCCAUUUAUGUUGUAAGUCAUUUUACAAAUGAUUUACAGAACUAAGAGUGAUAGUAAAAAAUAAUUGCAAGGUUUAACAGGCAUUCAAAUACUAAAAACUAUUCAAAUCUUAACAAAUACAGCAUAUUUUUGAAUAUACUAGAAAUUACUGGACCUUUUAAAUGGAUGAAUUUUAUGGUAUGUGAAAUAUAUUUCCUUAAGGCUUUCACUCAUAAAUAUCUAUGUGAAGAUACAUGUGUGCGCAUGUAAAUUAAAACAGCAGAUAAUUUCAUGUAUUCCUUGUCUUUGGAGAUAAAAUGAGCACUGUCCCUUAAAUGCAAUGAAGUAGUUUGCCAUGCAUGAAACUGGAACAUAUUCAUCUUGUAACUACUGAUUUCAGAUUUCAAAUACAUCUCUAAUAGGCUCUGAUUUAUCAUUGCUUUCACUGUUUUGUGUUUGCACUUGUAUCCUCAGCAUAUAAUACUUUGAAAUUUUUGAUGGCUCGUAGUUUUAUUGAGAUGGCAACCAUUUUCUUUAUUCCCUAAUUAUAAAGCAUGUUUUAGACUUAAAAAGGCCAAUUGUAAUGAUCAAUCCAUAGUUUUAAAAAAUAUCUAACUAGGUACAAGGCACAUGCCAAUAAUCCCAAUAAGUUGGGAGCUUGAGGCAGGAGGAUUGUUAAGGUGGAGGGCCAGCCUCAGCAAUUAGCAAGACUGUGUCUCAAAAUAUAAAAAGGGUUGGGGUUGAAGUUCAAUGGUACAGCACCCCUGGGUUCCAUCCCCAGUAUUAAAAACAAAAUUCUCUAUCCCAUCUGUUUCCCUCUAGUCACUUUGGGCACAACUGCUUUCAGCCUUUCUCUACCUAUGAAUUGUACCUAGUAAAUUAUGAUGCAUAGUAACUGUAAAGAUGAAAAAAUAUUGUCACACCACUUUUUGGCAAAACAGGAUGGUCCAGGUUUUUGUUACAAAAAGAGCAAUACAAUCUUCCUAUUAUGAUUAAACUGGAUGAAAAUACCAUUUUUUGUGUAUUUAGAAAUAAUUCAUUCAUUACCAAAAUGAAUCUAAGAAAUAUUUUUGUUUAUGUGAAUAUUGCACCACCAUUCUGGAGUGCUGCUAUGUGUCUACAUUCGUUUUCUGAUUUAUAUGAUGUCCUCUCUCAAUUUUCUUCUCUUUUUUCAUUAUGACUAGAAAAAUAAGAAAUCCUGAAUUAUCAGUUGAUGUUUCUGAACUUCUAAAAGAUGAUACAACACUUUGGGAAACACAAUAAGGAAAUUGAAGGAUGAUAUGAUAGUGAUGAUUUCAUUUUUACUAUUGCAUCUUCCUUCUAGGUAAUACCGUCAUCCUUCCAUUAUUAUCUUAGUCUUGUCUAGCAUAGUUUGGAUUAAAUCGUAUG
rnacentral:lncRNA from 1 species